GGCGUGGCCAACCAAAUUAUUCUUCAUCUUUCUCUUGUCCAUCUUCACUAUCGAUCCCAUCUCAAGCCACAAGCAGCACCCACUAGACCCUCUAAGCCCAGAAGAACUAAACCUCACCCAAACCAUUGUGAAGGACUCGUUCCCUUCCUCAAACAAUACCACCUUAACCUUCCACUACGUCGGCUUAGAUGAGCCUGACAAACCCUUUCUUCUUUCCUGGCUAUCCAAACCCACCAAUAAACCCCCGCCCCGACGAGCUCUAGCCAUCACUCGGUCCAAUAAACAAACCCAUGAAUUUAUAAUAGACUUAGCAAAUCGCUCAAUCAUAUCUAACCAUGUUUAUGCCGGAUAUAGCUACCCUACACUUGGUAUAGAUGAACAAACAGAAGCAAUUCAGUUGCCAUUAACGUAUGACCCCUUUAUUGGAUCCAUUAGAAAGAGAGGUCUUAACUUAUCUGCCAUUGUUUGUUCUUCAUUUACAGUUGGGUGGUUUGGAAGAGUUAGGAACAGGAGGGUGGUGAAGUUACAGUGUUUUCAUAUGAAUGACACUGUUAAUUUGUACCUUCUUCCAAUAGAAGGAAUCCAAAUAAUUGUUGAUCUUGAGGAAAUGAAGAUUGUUGAAUAUAAUGACAGUUUUAAGGUUCCAGUUCCAAAUUCUGAGGGAACCGACUAUAGAUUAUCUAAGCAGAAGCCGCCUUUUGGUCCACGUAUAAAUCGAGCUGCCAUCAUGCAACCUGAUGGACCUGGAUUCCAUAUUGAUGGCCAUACCAUCAGAUGGGUGAACUGGGUGUUCCAUUUGUCAUUUGAUGCACGAGUUGGUCCAAUGAUAUCUCUAGCAUCCAUUUAUGAUUCAGAAAAACACAAGUAUCGCAGUGUAUUGUACAGAGGACAUAUAUCUGAGCUCUUUGUGCCGUACCAGGAUCCAACGGAGGACUAUUACUUCAAAACCUUUUUCGAUUGUGGUGAAUUCGGGUUCGGUCUAUCUGCAGCUUCAUUAGUGCCACUAGCAGAUUGCCCCAAUAAUGCAGUAUUCAUGGAUGGGUACUACGCUGGACAAAAUGGCAUACCAGUUAAAGUUUCAAAUGUCUUUUGCAUAUUUGAAAGGCAUGCAGGUGAUAUCAUGUGGAGACACACUGAAUUCGGCAUUCCUGAUGUAUCGAUAACUGAGGCAAGGCCAGAGGUGAGCCUAGUUGUGAGGAUGGUUGCCACAAUCGGAAACUAUGAUCAUAUACUAGACUGGGAAUUCAAGCCAAGUGGUUCUAUCAACAUUCAGGUUGGUUUGAGUGGAAUUCUAGGAGUAAAGGCAGCAACAUAUACUCAUUCAGAUCAGAUUAACGAGGAUCUUUAUGGGACACUGUUAGCAGAUAAUACCAUUGGCUUGCAUCAUGAUCAUUUCUUGACCUACCGUCUUGAUGUUGACAUUGAUGGUGUUGAUAAUUCAUUCAUUAAGCAUAAUUUGAUAACAAAAACAGUGACAGAUAAUACCACAGCAAGGAAAAGUUACUGGACAGUUGUUAGUGAAACAGCUAAGACUGAAUCCGAGGCAAAAAUUCGUUUAGGCCUAAAGCCCGCUGAAUUGGUGAUUGUGAAUCCGAACAAGAAAACUAAACCUGGAAAUAGUUAUGGUUAUCGUCUGAUACCGGGGCCGGAGGCACAUUCACUUCUGUUAGACGAUGAUUACCCACAAAUACGAGGUGCUUUUACCAAAUAUAAUGUGUGGGUUACUCCAUAUAACAAAUCUGAAAAAUGGGCAGGGGGACGCUAUGUUGAUCAAAGCCAUGGCCAAGAUACAUUAGCUGUUUGGAGCCUCAGGUGCCUUCUGUUGAUUAAAUAUUAUAAUAUAUAGAAGACAUUAUUUCACUAAAUAAAGAUCUUAUAAUUCGUGUUUUUCUUUUGCUUGAAUGUGCAGGAACAGGGAGAUUGAUAACAAGGACAUAGUGUUAUGGUAUGUCAUUGGAAUCCAUCAUGUCCCUUGCCAAGAAGACUUCCCGUUGAUGCCAACGUUGAGCUCUGGAUUUGAGCUUCGACCCACUAAUUUCUUUGAACGCAGUCCUGUAUUGAAGGUGAUACCCCCUAAGCCAGUAACUUGGCCUAACUGCAGUGCCAGCCCUUAGUCUGGCUUUAUUGUUGAGCCCCUCAAGACGCAGAAUCAACAAUUCCUACUAAAUCUGGGUAGUGAAGACUCUCAAUUGCUAGUCUUCUGGCUUGUCCACACAAGCACUUGAUCAAAGCAACCUUGAUCAACCAAGAGCUCUUCCUUGUUCUUUAAAAGCUAGCAGCUAAGAAGAAGGGUGAAAAAGUAUUGUGUGUUUCAAGGAAUUUCUUGUUGGAAGUGAGGAAAAACAAUUUUCUCAAGGUUUAAUUCAAGAUUAGCAACACUUGAUUAUCUUGAAUUUUGUUUCAAGGAUGAAGAUGAAACUAAAG
rnacentral:misc_RNA from 1 species